UACGGAGGGGGCUAGCGUUGUUCGGAAUCAUUGGGCGUAAAGGGCGCGUAGGCGGCCGAUCAAGUCGGAGGUGAAAUCCCUCGGCUCAACUGAGGAAUUGCCUUCGAUACUGUUCGGCUUGAGUCCUGGAGAGGGUAGCGGAAUUUCCGGUGUAGCGGUGAAAUGCGUAGAUAUCGGAAGGAACAUCAGUGGCGAAGGCGGCUUUCUGGACAGAUACCGACGCUGAGGCACGAAAGCUAGGGGAGCAAACAGG
rnacentral:rRNA from 1 species